rnacentral:rRNA from 1 species
CCCUUAGAUGUUCUGGGCCGCACGCGCGCUACAAUGGCAGACUCAGCGAGUUACCUCUGUCGAAAGGCACAGGGAAUCUUUACAGUAUCUGCCGUGAUGGGGAUAGACCCUUGUAAUUUUUGGUCUUCAACGAGGAAUUCCUAGUAAACGCAAGUCAUUAACUUGCAUUGAUUACGUCCCUGCCCUUUGUACACACCGCCCGUCGCACCUACCGAUUGAAUGGUCCGGUGAAGUCCUCGGACCCAGUUGAACCUCGAGUUGAACAGGGAAAGUUGACUAAACCUUACCAUUUAGAGGAAGGUGAAGUCGUAACA